rnacentral:rRNA from 1 species
AUUCAAGUUUCUGACCUAUCAGCUUUAGACGGUAGGGUAUUGGCCCACCGUGGCAAUGACGGGUAACGGGGAAUUAGGGUUCGAUUCCGGAGAGGGAGCCUGAGAAACGGCUACCACAUCUAAGGAAGGCAGCAGGCGCGCAAAUUACCCAAUCCUAAUACAGGGAGGUAGUGACAAGAAAUAACAAUACAGGACUUUUUGGUUUUGUAAUUGGAAUGAGUUAAGUAUAAACCCCUUUACAAGUAUCAAUUGGAGGGCAAGUCUGGUGCCAGCAGCCGCGGUAAUUCCAGCUCCAAUAGCGUAUAUUAAAGUUGUUGCAGUUAAAAAGCUCGUAGUUGGAUUUCUGUUAAUAAUUUAUAUAAAAUAUUUUGAAUAUUUAUAUAACAUUAACAUAAUUCAUAUUACUAUAUUUUUUAGUAUAUGAAAUUUUACUUUGAGAAAAUUAGAGUGCUUAAAGCAGGCAUAUGCCUUGAAUACUCCAGCAUGGAAUAAUAUUAAAGAUUUUUAUCUUUCUUAUUGGUUCUAAGAUAAGAAUAAUGAUUAAUAGGGACAGUUGGGGGCA